rnacentral:ncRNA from 1 species
UCAGGUGUCGGAAGACUUAAUAAGGAAGUCCGGUGAGGGGAGUGUCCUCAAGGCCGGUGCGGUCCCGCCACUGUAUCAGGGAGUGUCUUUGCAAAAGUUAUGUCACUGGAGGAAGCUCUGGGAAGGCGCAAAGGCACGGUGAACUGGAGCCAGGAGAAUUGCCUGAUC